rnacentral:lncRNA from 1 species
ACAUAGAGGGAAAAGAAAAUAGAGUGAGAGUGAGAAACUUUUGGGGUAGAGUGAGGCUCUUGGGAAAAUUCUAUGAGUGGGUGUACAAGGGAUUUGGGAUUGGGUUAUGUCGAUUUAACUCAUGUGUACUUGUACUGUUAUUCUCAUAGUGAAGAGCAAUAUCUCUCCGGGGACGUAGGCAGGAUUUUUGCCGAACCUCGUAAAUUUCUCGGUGUCUUUAUUUCUUGUAAUUUUAUUCUGUUCAACUGAGUGUGAUUUUGGGUGUGGUUGUAAUCUGAAUCUCGUUUCCGCACUAAUGAACGGGCCAAGGCGCAACAACGCGGAGCUCAACGGGAAGCGGGGGAGGGAGGGGAGGGGGAAGAAGGUAUCAGGAGAGCAAUGGGAGGGGAAGGAGAGGGGUCGGGAGGCCACCGAAGAGGCCGGAGACUGCGGCAGCAGAAGCGGGGAGUAGGAAGAGAGGGAGAGAGAAUGGGGAGGCUGAUCAGGUGGGGAGUGCAGGGAGGCGGAGAAAGCGUACAAGGAGGUGAAUGCGGCCAUUGUUGUAAGCUGUAAAUUAUUUUUGGCAUGGUUUGGGUUAAUUUCUGGUCUUGUUUCGUUGCUAUUGCUAGGUUUUUACAGUCUUUUUUUUUUAUACCUUUUUACCCAAGUGCGGUCAAAAGAAUUACUAGAGAGGGAUAGGGAGAGACAGAGAUAGAUGUGAUGUGAACUUGUAGAAUGUUUUGGGGCAUCUCUUUUUGCAUAUACAGAUGCUGAUGAGUAGCAUCAUCAGUGAGGACCUUUUUCGUUCUAGUUUCAAUAUUGUUCUUGUUUUUUUUAGUGUGGGCUUUUUUGGUGCAAUAGGAAAUAAGCUGGGUCCAAAACAUCCGAAAACAAAGGAAGAAAUUAAGAUAAUAGUAAAGAAAUAUACUGAGAAAGAUAAUACAAAUGCAAAUGACGCAUUACUG